ACUCGCCGCGCGAGCUGGGUCGGAGGCCGCAUGGGCCCGGGACCCUCCCCCUCUCCUGUCCCUUUCGCCUACCGGGCUUCGGGGGACCCGUCUGGCGCCCACCUCCCUUCGAGGGCCGCUGCCAUCCCUGCCUUUCGCUCCUCGGGCCCGUGCCGGGGGCAAGUUGGGCAGCCCGGCAACGCUCGGUACGUGAGGCCGAGGCUUCCGUGCGGCCUGGGCGGAGGAAGCAGACGGGGGGCUGAGGCUAGAGCUUUUCCCCCCUUUCUGCUCCAGCUCUACGACCCUGACUGCUCUGGACGAAGCUCCCCUGCCUCGCCCUCCCUCCGGGACCCGAGACCCCCGGGAAGCCCUCCCGGAGCGGGGGAGGGGAGGGAGUAGGUCUGUGAAGCAACUGGUGUCCGGGGUAUGACUCGGGAAACCUGUGUCUCUCAUUUCUCGGCCUCCUGGGCGAUCAGGGAAGUCCUUGUUCCCUCUCCUCCCGGCUGGCAGCACCUUCCCGGCUUCGCACAGAACCCCCAGUCUGUUUUGCGCCUGGCGGGGUAACCAGGGUACGUGGAGAGUGUGUCUCCGUUCUGUGACUGGACACGCCUUUGCCAAAAACCCUCUUGGGGUCGCUGCCGACGACAGAUGAUCGCGGGGAGGGUGGGAUCCUUCCUGUUGCCUUUCUGGGCCUAAGUACUCAUUGCGUCUCUGACCAAGCCAGAGCUCCAUUUUUUGGCUAGUGAAUUAAAGAGGACUGUUUUCUCUCCGUUUACCCAAAACCCGUGUUUCAGUCAGCUCUUUCCCUCACCUGGGGGGUCUCGGCUCGGUGGUUUGUGACCCAGACUGUCAGGGUUAACUCCAGGGUGUCACUUCCUCAGGUGCCCCUUGCUGGGGCUACUGUUUGCAGAGGGACCGCCCCCUCCCCCUCCGCGUGUGCGCGUGUGUGUGUGUGUGUGUGUGUGUGUGUGUUGAGGGGUGGGAAGACUGAUCUAUUCUCAUAUUUUCUCUAAGAGUUUCUUGGCAGUAGGCGGCAGGAGCAGGGCAGUAGGAAGAUGUGGUAGCAUCCAGGUAUGAAGUAAGGGUCUGGGAGACCAGGAAGUGGCCAUAGGUGGCCAUUGUGAUCACUUUUUAAUAUGCUGUGAAUGGAAGAAAAAAAAUCAUCUUUGGCUUGGCCAGGUAACUCAGGUUUCUCUCACCAUGGGGGUUUUUGCUUUUAUUUUUACAUGAGCUUGGCUGAUUACUCCUAGCAGUAUGCUUAACUCUGAUGAUGUUUUUGGAAUGAUUCACAUUGGCUUAUAAUACAAUUUUUGGUAAAGAUUGAAGGGUUAUGAGUUUUUUCUAAGGCUCUGGUUGCUGCGACAUAAGUACCGCUCUUAUCCCUGGUAAUCAGGUCCCAUUAAAAUUGACUUGAUGGUAAUUGUGUUUAACAAAUGUUGUGUUAUACAUUUUUAUUAUGACUUUGGGGGUGGAGUGGGCACAAGCUAUAUAAAACCUUCUAGAAUGUCCUUUUUGCAGUAACUGGUGCCACUGCAAUUUUAAAGACUGAAAUAUUAGAGGAUAAAACAGGUGACAUGAAAAAAAUAGCAUUGGUGACUUGUGCAUCUUUUGUGGAGUCAGAAAGUAAUUUUUUUGAAUUUCACGUGCUCGCUUCUCUUUGGGAGAGUCGGAGAGGUUGCUGAGAUAUUAGCACUGAUCCUUAAUGCCACCUCAGGGAGCUUUGGGAUCAGGCAGUGUUGUAGAUUAGGUCACCCCAGUGACCUCAGGGGUUCCACUGUUGUGUAAGGCUCUAAUCUAAAGGGUUCCUUGAGGCAGAAGAGAGAAAGGAGGAGGGAACACACCUUCGUUUUAUGUGUCUUAGCGUAUGCAGAAAUGUUGUAUAGGUAGGUCCCUGGUUAUGUUACCUGGUGUGGAAUUUGCAUUUCAUACCGAUUAUUUUCGGAGACUCUAGUGAUGAUCAUGGGCAGAGUCCUACUAACAUGGGAUGGAUGGAUUUGGGAAAUUAUCUCUUUAUGAGCAGUGAGGAAAGUACCUACGUUGUGAGUGACCCUCUGAUCGCCGUUAUGGGCCAUUUGACAGGACCAUUCGAUUCGAGCAAACACCAUGCAGAAACCCAGAGCUGCGAUGGGCAGGGUUGCUGGCGGAGGUGGUGGUGAGGACCAGGCAUGUCAGUGUGUCUGCAGUUUCUCUCAGAUCAAUGUGGGUUCAGGUGAGAGCAGGUGGCUCCAGCAUAGGCGCUCCUGGCCCGCUGUCUCCUCUCUGGCCUGCGCAAUGAUGGACUCCACUGCUGGAUAUUUAGUUGACACAUAUUUAAGAUGCUCAUGGAAAGGAAAAAAAAAAAACGGGGACAGUGUUGAAGAGCCAACACUAAAAUUAAACCUCUUCUGAGAGAAGCGGCCGAGAAUUGUGUCAUGUAAUGCUUACCUUUAUGGGCAUGCAAUUAUGGUUAACAAACUUAGCUAUUGCUUGCAAGAUCAGUGUCAGGAGCUGACCUAAUAUCCACAAGUAUCUGGAAAGUUAAGGAAGUGACGAAGUCAUGUUUACCAACCAUCCCCUUGACAAAGGCAUUCUUAGGAGGAAAAUUGUUUCUUCGCUGUAACUUUUAGCCCCUGGAGUGUAUGCAUUUUUGAAUUCCUAUAGCAGCAGGCUCACAGUUAAUAAUUUCUGCCAAUUCAGUAAUAAAGUAAAUCCUCUACUCUCCUUUUCAAAAGGCUACUAACAGUUUUUCAGAGCAGUCAGAGCCUUUCUUUUUGCCGUGCACCCUUUCAGCCCUGGAUGUUGAAAAUCUCUGAAGUGCAGUGUGUGCGUGAUUGUUCCAGCUUCCUCUUGCUGCAUUGUGGGUAAAGUGAAGGACCGUAUCUUACUCUCUCGCACAGCAGUCGUAGUGAGCAGUCUCCUCUCAGCAGGUGAUUCGGUUCCCAUCUGCCUGGGACACUCAUCGUUUUGUGGAGGUACAAGUUUUAUCUUCCUGAGCGGCACUCAAGCUCCUUGGAGAUGUUUCAUGUCUUGUCUUCUCCCUCUAGAGCAGAAGCGGUAGACACGCUUUCUACUUGCUGCUUAAACCGACUGAAUGCUAGCCUCCAUCUUGGACCUGUACCCGAGGAGCUACAUUUGAGUGCCUUUUUACCAGGAAGCCUUUGUGACCAUCUUAUGUCCAAAAGUUCAGUCAUGGAAUCUUCUAAUGCAGAACUUUGGAGACCGAAAGAAUCACAGGUGGCUUGAGACCCUGCUCAGUAGAACUGUGAGGAACGCGGAUGUUAAGUGAUGAUGAACAAACAGGUUUUAGAGGAAAGUUCUGGCAGAUACUAGAUGGUGUACUGCAUCCUCAUAACAAGCAAAAUAACAGCACAGAGCAGGGCUUGCUAGCUGCAGGUGAAUGCCCUGUGUUCAGAUCAGGGAGAUACCUGAGAAGGUCCUGCAGCAAAGAGGGAGCUGAACUAUCCCUGGAUGCGUGUGUCAGUGCCUCCAGCUGCCAGGAUCUGAGCAGGAAACGUCCUUGGGAGCUGCUUUCUUUCUCACAGCUCUUGAGACAACAGAGACCAAGCGGAGGUGACCAAGGGACUCUACAGAGACACAGCAAGAAAGAUAACUUUCCUACCUAAGAAUUGGAAGGUUAGAUGUUGCUUCCCUGGCCUGCCUGCGAGUUUCUUGUCCAUGGGGUGGGAUUGGGAACUGGUGGUGUAUGCACCCCAUAAAGCUCCCUCCAGAUCUAAGUUCAGAUCCUGGAAGGGACAGCAGAGGCUAAUGUGAAUUGUCCUAGAAGAUUUUUUUUUUUAAUAUAUUUUUGCAAGGUACGGUGUGUGCAGUUUCUCAACUAAGAAAAUUCUAAACCAAGGUGUAUGCUUUGUUAGUUUGUGUGGCACCCUGUCAGAGUUCUGCUUCCUCCCAAAGGCCUUGUGAGUGAGGGAGCCAGUCUCCCCUUUUGCAGGUGCAGAAGGUAAUAGGUGCUGCUCAGUGAGUAUCUCCUGGGGCAAGCAGAGGACAAGAUGCUUUUGUUUCUUAUUGACCUAAUGGGAGGUGGUGGAACCAAAGUUAGGGACUUACCCAGAGUCAUUAAGUGACAGUGCUUAGAGUCCUUCCAACUUUGAACACCACCACGCUGCCUUGAAAGAUGGAGAGAUGGCUCCAGAAGAGGCAUGAGGGGGCAGCAUUUUUUAGCUGGUAAGAAAACUUGGGAAGCCUAUAAUGUCCCAUACAAGUUUAUAUGAGAAAACAGCUUGGGGCUGGAUCUACCUGUGUUAGGUCUAACAGGUUGAUGAUACGAGACAGCCUGUCCCAUGAACAUCUUAAGGUCUCUGUCACGGACAGAAUCCUGGGCCAGACCACAGUGUGGCAACUGUCAACUGAUGUGGAACUUUUCAUGAGUCUGUGUGAUCAGUUUGCUCUCUGCUUCAAGAUUAUAGUACUUUUGAUAUUAACCUGAAACGCCAUUGAUUCUACAGAAAAGCAGAAUAAUAUAAAUUGCAAAAUGGAGAACUCUAUAUUCUGACCCUAUCCAAAAUAUUAGAGGACCCUAAACCCAAACAUGUAGAUGCCACCUGACUCACAGUUGCCCAGAUUCAGGAACACUUCUGUGUUUCUUCUGUGUCUUGUGGCCAGGACACAGGAGAGGAGCAGCAUAGUGUUCUCUGACUUCGGGAAAUAGAAAGGUAGCAAGUGUCACCUGUGAUACAGGUGUAUGUCCUUGUCUGUGACUCGCUGUCUCUCAAGAGAAAGUGGACUUUACUGUCUGUCCUCACUGGGGUUUCUGGGUAGUCCUCAGUCUUUGUUGUCCUAGUCAGAGGUCCCAGAGCCCUGGAGGACUGUCUAAGACCAGCCUGUGGGCGGGGGCUUUAUCUUGGAUACAGAUGUAAAAAGGCACCAUGGUCACGUCAGCCCCUGGGCAGCCGUGUGAGAUGGGACAUGUACCUUAAGGGUGCCAAGCCCUCUUAGGUGAAGGAGGACACCUGGGCUCACCUUUUCUUGAUUUUGGUGUCUGCAAGCAUCUUUUCAGAUGGAGCUCCAGUUUAACCAGACUGACUCUAGGUGACUCAGGUAACUACAGUCCAGUGGGAGGGGUCUCCUGGCUACUCCCCCACUGUCAUUUUCUGGAAACUGGGUGCUUUGUCACUACAAGUGGUGCUUUUCCUUUGUAUAGCUAGUGGUAAGCUGUCGUGUGUCUGCCUGGUCCCUUUGGGGACCAGGAGCUGUUUGUCAGAAUGGGUGGCUAAGUUUGUGUCCCAGUGGGUCCAGGAGAGGCAGUGCAUUUCAUUCCAGUGUGUUCUCGCUAGCACCCAUGUUUGGAGCACCCUUCCAAAAGUGCUGCUUUUCACUCUCAGAGCAGGGUGUGGAGUUGCCAUAGGAAUUCUCUGAACUGGGAAGCAUCUACUAAGUAAGAAAGAACUACCAAUAAUUCUGCAUGCUGUGUUUAAAAGUAUUCUCUGAGUGGAUUCCAUGUCAUGGGAGGCAGUACAAUUACGUUUCAGUCACCAACUGAUUAGCAAGUGCUUAUGUGCUGGGUGUAGAGAUUGUGCACCUGAAGAUGCCCAGCCCCUGCGCCCAAGGGACCUGGGGCCUCAUAGGGAAGAGGGCAGAUAGAGCAUGUACAUGGACAACCUGGGGUGGGGUGCAAUGGCUUGUGGGAUCGGCAGUCAGGGAUGGCCUGAUGGUGCUACAGGUCUCAAGUCCAAAUGGAACAAUUCUCCCCAUGCCUUAUUUGAAAACGGUUGAGAAUUCUUAAGAAUAUGAGAUGCUUUCUUAAGUAUAUUCUGUCAUCCAGGUUUUCAGAAUAAGUUCUGUAGUCAGGCUGGCAGGGACUUCUUGCGUUGUCUCUGGCAUGAGGAAUACAGCUGAAAGGACUA